rnacentral:rRNA from 1 species
UGGGGAAUUUUGGACAAUGGGCGAAAGCCUGAUCCAGCAAUGCCGCGUGUGUGAAGAAGGCCUUCGGGUUGUAAAGCACUUUUGUCCGGAAAGAAAUCCUUGGCUCUAAUACAGUCGGGGGAGUGACGGUACCGGAAGAAUAAGCACCGGCUAACUACGUGCCAGCAGCCGCGGUAAUACGUAGGGUGCAAGCGUUAAUCGGAAUUACUGGGCGUAAAGCGUGCGCAGGCGGUUUGCUAAGACCGAUGUGAAAUCCCCGGGCGUCACUGGACUGCAUGUGACUGGCAGGCUAGAGUAUGGCAGAGGGGGGUGAGAAUUCCACGUGUAGCAGUGAAAUGCGUAGAGAUGUGGAGGAAUACCGAUGGCGAAGGCAGCCCCCUGG